rnacentral:lncRNA from 1 species
UGAUUAUCUACUUAGGACAGGUUUGGGUACAGCCACUCAUGGAAGCCAGGAACCAGCUUCUAACCAUGGAAGCUUUGUGUUUUCUGUAUAAGCUGUCCUUGACUACGGACAAAGAAUGGGUACCGAGUGUUCAGUUGGCAUCAUAAUAGGAAACAGAAUUCUACACAGAUGGUUCAACGGAACAGAGUUUCUUGAGGGGCAUAUUUAUGGAGGGGUAAGGAGACCAGCAAGGGAUAUUGAGGCACCCAGGGCUAAACUUAGAGGGAAGCUGUCAUCACCCUAGGGCCUGAGGAGGAAGGGGAGAAAAUACUGUUUGGGGGGCCUGGUGGGAGCUGUAGCUGGGAGGAGGACCAUGAGGGAGAAACCAUAGUCAUGGAAGGAUGUUGUCACUGCCAGGACCAAGACACCAAGACUGUGUGCUAGGCACUGAGUUAGAGUUGAAGACCCUCAAGAAUUCCACUGACAACUGAAUCAUCAAAGGGAACCGAGCCCUGCCCAAGGACAUACAGUUGUUUUCCUCUUCCUUGUCCUUUGGAGAAGCACAGCUGAAGCUUCCUGCCCACACCCCAGCCCCUCCUCCUUGAGCAUGAAUGUGCAGACCACCCACCGCCCCAUGCUUGUAUCUACAACAGCUAUGAGGAAGAACAUACAGAUUAAUCACCCUGCUGCGGGAUGCCAGCUACCCAGUGGCUCUGGCAGCCCCAGUCAAUGGAUCCUGCAGUGUAGCCUUCAUCAGUAGAGCUGCCACUGCCAGCACCCAAAAGAUGCUGAAGGAGAGAAGUUAAAGAACCUGUCCAAAAUCGCACAGCUAGUUAGUAAUAAAGCUUGGGUGGAAUUCUGCUUUUCUGACUCCCAGAUUAGUAUUUCUUUGACUUUACCUCCCCUUUGGAAAAAUGAAGCGAUUCAGGGGAAGUUCCUG